AUGAAGGGCGCGGCCGCGGGAGGCAGCUCCAGGCGCGGCGACCGGCGGCGCGAGGCUGCGAGAGGAACGACGGGGCGGCGAACGGCACGGGAGGAGGUGGAUGGGGCGAGAGAGGUCGAGGAGCGGGCGAGAGACGUGCGGGGAGAGGAGGCGAGAGGGGUCGUGCGGGAAGGAGGGGAGAGGGGCGGUGCCGCCUCCGGUUGUGGAAACCAGGUCGAUACGGUAUUCGUCGUCAUGUUGGGCUGCCCGAGGUCAGAGCUUUGGAGCUUGUCCGAGAGCCCAGAGGGGAUGAGCUGCUUAGCUAAGUUUUAUGUCAUUGAUUUUACAUGGAGAUUCAUGCAGUACCAAGUUCAGCCCCAAACCAGUCGAUGCGAUGAAAUUCAGUUUCGAGUUCAGCCUCAAACCAUCUCGAGGGCAGAGAAAAAACACAAACACAUCGGCAAAGUGUCAGCAACCAAGAAGGGCGCCAAGGUGAAGUUCGAACAGAGGGCCGACCCAAGAGGCAGCUUCGCUUACCCGCUCAGCUUGCCAGGCCUGGGUGGGCCUAAAACCGCGUUUCAAUCCAACGUCCAUCCAUCCGUCCAUGCGAAGAAAAGGAACAAAAACCACCGCACCAAAUUCUACCUCUCUAUCACCUCUCCUCCCUUCCUUCCUUCCACCGCCUCCCUCUCUCUGUCCCCGAUCCAGAUCCUUCCCUCACCCCUCGUCUCGGCCUCUUCCUCACCCCUCGUCUCUGUCCCCGAUCCAGAUCCUUCCCUCGCGCUGUCCUCUCUUCCUUCCUGUCACCGGCGGCGCCCUCUUGCCCUCGCGCUGCGCCUGAACCUUGCUCCUGCUCCCGCUCCCAGCUCUUCUUCCUCCUUCGCUGCAGCUAGGGUUUCGUCUCCCCGAUCCCCAAUCCGCGAAGCUCGGAUCCAGCAGCAACAGCAGCGAUGGCGGCCGCGGGAGAUCCUCUCCAAGGCCGCGGCGCCCCUCAAGGCUGACCUGUCACCCUUGGCGCCCGCGCCGCUGAUGCGGGCCCUCCUCCGCCACGUGGUGCACGAGCACCAGGGGAAGAGACUCGUGACCCAUAUCUGGCUCCACGUCGGCGUCGUCCACCUGCUCGCGAACAUGCUCAGCCUCGUGCUCGUCGGGCUCAGGCUCGAGCAGCAGUUCGGAUUCGUGAGAGUCGGCGUCAUCUACCUCGUGUCCGACGUCGGGGGCAGCAUGAUGUCGUCCCUGUUCAUCAGAGACAACAUCUCCGUGGGCGCCUCCGGUGCGCUCUUCGGACUUUCUUAUCGUGCUAAUUGCAAAGGACGACCCUGCAGCAAUGGAGGAGCAUUCUUCUUCUGCUCACAGUCUUCAACAAAGGCCCCCUCCACCGCCAUUGUCAGCGAGAGCAGAGGACAAGGGCUUCAUGGCCAACCAAGGCGCAUAGUGCUCGCAAGCGACGAAUGGAGGUUGUUCGACAUAGACACGGAGGAGGAGGAGGACGGGCACGGACGGAGGAGGACAGAGCACCUCUCUUCUUCCAAUCUUGGACUCUCUGACUGCUCCUCCUCUAGCCAAUGGUUUUGUUUGAUGAUAUGCUUAGAUUAUGAUCAUAAGCGUGGUGGUUUGAUGAUGCUGAGUCCGGCUGUGGAAUUGAACUGUCAUUCAUUACAUGCUCUGUUAAACCAUGAUAUAGUUGCUGGAACUGAGCUUAAUAUUCAUGUGUACAAUGUUGAUAUGGGAACUGCGUGUGGUAAAUACUUCCAAGUCUACUGCCUGAGUAUCAUCGACCCUGGCGAUUCCGACAUCAUCAACGCAACACCAGCUUGCAGUAAACCUGUUCAAUCAAGUUUGAUGGGACUAUGGUUUUGGAUCAAAAGACUUGUGGUGACGAAGAGCAAGGCCGAGAAGGACUCCAACAAUCCCAAACGCCCUCUGAGCGUUGUCUUAGUCCUCAUGGACAACUUCAGGAAGGACUCCAACAUCAAGCAUAUCUCCAUGUUUUCCUUUCAAAUCCUGUGUCCUGAUUUGUGUUCAAAUCGCAAGUUGGCAAGGGUGGUGGUGAGAAGUGGAAGUAUCUUGAGUGAUGUUGGCGUCGAAGUGCGGCCGCACCUGCUCUAUUUUGAACACGGCAUGAACCGGCUUGGACAGUGGCGCCAACUCCUGGUCGGAAGCUACGUCCAUCGUUCGAUUGUCGUCCCUCAGCUCGGCCAGCUCGCUGGCAAGCCAGCAAGUCCGGCUGCUGGACCAACCCGCUGCCAAGCACGAGCGCCGGCCGCCGCCGAGCAUCAGAACGCCUGCACGACCGAGAACUAUGUGGAUGCUGCAUCCGAACUAGUGCAGGACGGGCUAUCUUUGAACCACGUGCAAUCCCUCGUCUUGAACAAACCACAAAGCACAAAUUGUCUUGUUCGGGCAGCGAGCAUGGAAGGAUGCAAUAUUCAAUUAUUUCAAGGCUACUACCUUCAAUCUGGGCUAGCACGUGGAACACUAAAGUGCCUUGGAGAGCUGAAGUCACGUGGAGAGUACUAG
rnacentral:rRNA from 1 species